rnacentral:rRNA from 1 species
UGGGGAAUAUUGGACAAUGGGUGAGAGCCUGAUCCAGCCAUGCCGCGUGCAGGAAGAAGGCGUUAUGCGUUGUAAACUGCUUUUUGCCAGGGGAUAAAAAGACCGUGCGCGGUUAAUUGAAGGUACCUGGUGAAUAAGCCACGGCUAACUACGUGCCAGCAGCCGCGGUAAUACGUAGGUGGCAAGCGUUGUCCGGAUUUAUUGGGUUUAAAGGGUGCGUAGGUGGCCCUGUAAGUCAGUGGUGAAAUAUCUCAGCUUAACUGAGAGGGUGCCAUUGAUACUGCAGGGCUUGAGUACAGAUGAGGUAGGCGGAAUUGACGGUGUAGCGGUGAAAUGCAUAGAUAUCGUCAAGAACACCGAUAGCGAAGGCAGCUUACCAAGCUGUAACUGACACUGAGGCACGAAAGUGUGGGGAUCGAAACAGGAUUAGAUACCCACGUAGUCCCUGAGCGGGCUGGCAAGGCGCAU